rnacentral:ncRNA from 1 species
CAGGACUUAUAGCGAUGUAAUUCUAAGUCUUAUAAGAAGUCAGCAGAAGACAUAGUAUUUUAUGAAGUGCACACUCAUAAAAGAAGGUC